UUCAGUUUGAAAUAAUGAUGGUAAUCGAGUACACGUCCAAAAACGGCUUGUUCUGUCUAACUUAAAAGAACUAUACCAAUGUUUCCGUGAAAUAAACCCAAGAGAGAAAAUUGGAUUUUCGAAAUUCGCUUCUUUACGACCGAAACAUUGUGUGUUAGCAGGAGCAAGUGGAACACACACCAUCUGUGUAUGUACGAUCCAUCAAAACUUUAAGUUGAUGAUGCUUGGUGCAAAUCUUCAUUCUUUAACAAUAAAUACA